AAAUAAUAAACGGAAUAAGCAUGUAGAGCCGAAGGCCGCGGACUGACGGACGCGGGUUCAAUUCCCGCCGCCUCCACCA
rnacentral:tmRNA from 1 species